CAGGCUCUAGCUUGCUAGAGCGCUGACGAGUGGCGAACGGGUGAGUAACGCGUAGGGAUCUGCCUUAGAGAGGGGGACAACUCGAGGAAACUCGAGCUAAUACCGCAUACGGUCUACGGACUAAAGGGGGCCUCUAUAUAAAAGCUCUCGCUCUAAGAUGAACCUGCGUCCGAUUAGCUAGUUGGUAAGGUAAAAGCUUACCAAGGCGACGAUCGGUAGCUGUUCUGAGAGGAAGAUCAGCCACACUGGGACUGAGACACGGCCCAGACUCCUACGGGAGGCAGCAGUGGGGAAUAUUGGACAAUGGGGGCAACCCUGAUCCAGCAAUGCCGCGUGUGUGAAGAAGGCCUGAGGGUUGUAAAGCACUUUCGUUGGGGAGGAGUAGCUUUUCGUUAAUAGCGAGGAGUGAAGACGUUACCCAAAAAAGCAGCACCGGCUAACUCUGUGCCAGCAGCCGCGGUAAUACAGAGGGUGCAAGCGUUAAUCGGAAUCAUUGGGCGUAAAGCGCACGUAGGUGGUGAGGUGUGUUGGCUGUGAAAGCUCCGGGCUUAACCUGGAAAAGCCAGUCAAAACUGCAUCACUAGAGUCUAUCAGAGGGUAGU
rnacentral:rRNA from 1 species